GAUGAACGCUAGCGGUAGGCUUAACACAUGCAAGUCGUGGGGCAGCGCGAAGUAGCAAUACUUUGGCGGCGACCGGCAAACGGGUGCGGAACACGUACGCAACCUUCCUCAGAGCGGGGAAUAGCCUCCCGAAGGAGAGAUUAAUACCCCAUAGUAUCUCGAAAAUGCAUGGUUUUGAGAUUAAAGCUUCGGAACUUUGAGAUGGGCGUGCGGCUGUUUAGGUAGUUGGUAGGGUAACGGCCUACCAAGCCAACGAUCAGUAGCUGAUGUGAGAGCAUGAUCAGCCACACGGGCACUGAGACACGGGCCCGACUCCUACGGGAGGCAGCAGUGAGGAAUAUUGGUCAAUGGAGGAAACUCUGAACCAGCCAUGCCGCGUGAAGGAUGAAGGUCCUCUGGAUUGUAAACUUCUUUUAUAGAAGAAGAAACCCCAUUAUUCUUAAUGGGUUGACGGUACUCUAUGAAUAAGCACCGGCUAACUCCGUGCCAGCCGCCGCGGUAAGAC
rnacentral:rRNA from 1 species